AUCCCUCUCGGCCUUUUGGCUAAGAUCAAGUGUAGUAUCUGUUCUUAUCAGUUUAAUAUCUGAUGUCCCCUGGACUAUAUAUUAAAUUGAUUUUUGGAAUAGGGAGAUGGAACAGGGGCUUGCUCCGUCCACUCCACGCAUCAACCUGGUAUUGCAGUUUAUCCGGGAAUGGUGCACCAUCC